AUUUUUUACCGAAUUAUCGAUCUUUUCGAACUCUUCAGUGCAUGAAGAGUAAAAAAGUCAUUAUUUACAUGGAGGGAAAAUGGCAGCGAUGUCGUCGGGUAUGUGUGAUUUUGGUGAAGAUUGUGAAGAAACGGCGAUAUAUUAUUUGAACGGCUGUGUUAAACAAACCUUUCACCACCUCAAAUAUUUGGACUCUUAACUCUCAGGGUAUAGAUCUGCCCGAAAGUUAUUUAAUUCUAUCCAGAGCGGGUAUCGAUGUAAUCACAUUAGCACAGCUAAACAAGAAUCAGAUGCGUGCUUGGUCUGUACUGGAAACAGAGCGAGAGAUCUUGUGUACAUCGCUUUCAUGGUUUAUCUAAAACGAAACCAGACUGAGGCAUCACACCAGUUUUGAGCCGGGAAUUUUGGUUGCGUCUACAGCUAUCAGUCCCAAUAGAUGAAGAGUUGAGCAGCUGACCUAUUCAACCAUUGCCUCAAUACCUCCACUUAAUCUUAAAGAUUGCACUGAAGUCAACGAUGUUAACAACAAUGCUAAUCCUGCUGAAGAAACUUCAGGCAGCAGAACAGUUUGACAGUGUCCAAGCAAUAGCCAAUGAACUUACAGAAUAAAUGGCUGUGACUGAAACUCAUUAAGUUUAAUAUUUUUGUACCGUAGUUUUACUUAUAUUGUUUAUAUAAAUAAUACCUGUACUCAGAUGUGUAUCCCUCAUAUAAUUACAUUUAAUUCAUUGACAUUUAUUAAAGUGGGAAUUGAUCAACUUCGAGGGUUUCAACAAACUAUAUCAUUUU